rnacentral:rRNA from 1 species
UAGGGAAUCUUCGGCAAUGGACGAAAGUCUGACCGAGCAACGCCGCGUGAGUGAAGAAGGUUUUCGGAUCGUAAAACUCUGUUGUUAGAGAAGAACAAGGACGUUAGUAACUGAACGUCCCCUGACGGUAUCUAACCAGAAAGCCACGGCUAACUACGUGCCAGCAGCCGCGGUAAUACGUAGGUGGCAAGCGUUGUACGGCUUUAUUGGGCGUAAAGCGAGCGCAGGCGGUUUCUUAAGUCUGAUGUGAAAGCCCCCGGCUCAACCGGGGAGGGUCAUUGGAAACUGGGAGACUUGAGUGCAGAAGAGGAGAGUGGAAUUCCAUGUGUAGCGGUGAAAUGCGUAGAUAUAUGGAGGAACACCAGUGGCGAAGGCGGCUCUCUGGUCUGUAACUGACGCUGAGGCUCGAAAGCGUGGGGAGCAAACAGG